UUCAUUUUUAAAUUUUGAAAAAAAAAUAAAAAUUUUUCAAAAAUUGCAAAAAAAAUAGGUAACAGAAUAAGUUGGUAGGCAGCAUCAGUGUUUUCAUACUGUCCACUAAAACAUUCUCUCCGAAUUUUUUGUAUUUUCUUCAUCACGAUGCACUGUUUCAAACAACAAACGUUAUCAGCAGAACAUUACCCAACUACCCAAGUGCAUUUGUUUGUGCUUCACUUGAAACGUGCUUUAAAAAAGUGCAAAUUUUCAACUUUCAGCGUGAAGGAAAAGUAUUUUAUUACCAGUUUUCACAAUUCACACUCUGUAAUCUGCAUGUUUGUAUUCUGUUGAAGGCAAUAUUUCAAAUGUUCUCUCAAAUUCGCGUUCAUCGGAAUAAUGACCAUCUAUACGUGCAGCUAUCCAAACUGCAACAAGACAUUUCAACGACCUUCCAAAUUGAAGAAUCACUAUAAUUUACACGUUGGCGUGAAACCGUUCGUAUGCACUGUUUCAGGAUGUGGUAAAUCCUACUCUACUUCUAGUCAUUUACAUCGCCAUAUCAAAUGUUCGCAUGGUAAUCAAUCGGACACCAAACAAGUUUUCGCAUGUCCCUAUAGUUUGUGUAAUGCAACAUUUCAAACUUUAUGGGGCUUACAAAGACACGAAGAUAGUCAUCUGGCACCCUUCUAUUGCCAAAAAUGUAAUCUGCAUUUCAAAACUGACGCAUGUUACGAGAAACACGUGAAACGGCAUGAAAUUGUUUCUAGUCGAAAAUGUCAAAUUUGCGGAGAAGACUUUAGUAACAGGCUGAAAAGAGAUUUUCUGAGGCACGAGAAAAUUCAUAGAAUCGAUCAUAAGUGCGAAUUUUGCGGUAAAAUGUUCACUCAUCUGAAAGAUCUCCAAAGACAUCUAACUAGACAUGAAUCGAGAUUUGAAUGUGCUCAUUGCGGUGCUAUAAUGACGAGAAAAAAUUCGCUUCUAGCUCAUAUUCGUGCACUGCAUGUUGACUUCGUGGAACCCUAUGUAUGCGAGAAAACUGGUUGUCCAAAGGUUUACUGUUAUAAACGUAAUUGCGCCAAGCACACAUCACAACAUUGCGAGCAUGUUCGAUUCAAAUGUCCGAUGGCAAAUUGUUGUCAAGAAUUUUUACAUAAGAAAAGUUAUCUACGUCAUUUGCAAUUACAUCAAAGAAAUGAAAUCAAACCGAAGAAAAAAUUUAGAACGAUUGAUAGAGCUAGAUUGUUGGUAAAUGCUUUAUGUUCUUGAAAUAUUAAUUAAUUGUUGAUGUUUGUAAUAAAAUAAGCUGAUUCA